rnacentral:lncRNA from 1 species
CUGGAAUGGUUGGUGGGGGGAUCGAUGAGUUGAACUUUCGCUCCACCUCCUCCAAUGAGUGGGAUGAGGAUGCCUAUGUUGGAAGAGGUACUCCCAUCAUCUCUGCCCCAAUUAACUCAAGUAAUAAAGUGUGGAAGGAGGAAAGCAUAAUAUUCAGCAAACAAUCAAGACAAACAGUUACGUAGUCAAAGAUGGAGCUCUCAUGUCCAACGAUCAACAAAAUAAUUGGAGCAAUAGUAGCCUAAAGGUACUCAUGACAG